rnacentral:rRNA from 1 species
UACGUAGGGGGGCGAGCGUUGUCCGGAUUUAUUGGGCGUAAAGAGCGUGUAGGCGGCCAGGUAGGUCUGCUGUGAAAACUCGAGGCUCAACCUCGAGACGUCGGCGGAAACCAUCUGGCUAGAGUCCGGAAGAGGUGAGUGGAACUCCUAGUGUAGAGGUGGAAUUCGUAGAUAUUAGGAAGAACACCAGUGGCGAAGGCGGCUCACUGGUCCGGUACUGACGCUGAGGUGCGAAAGCGUGGGGAGCAAACAGG